ensembl:lncRNA
ACACGACUCGUCCCUUAAUUCAUUAACAUAAACACACUGUAAGCAUUCUGGUCAGCAAACCCCCAAGAAACACAUGACUCUCUUUCUCUCUCUCUCUCUCUCUCUCUAACACACCCACACACACGCACGCACACCCACAUACCCACAUACACACACACUUCAGACACUGUCACCAGAGCUCAUAAAUGUAAAAUUUACACUAUCUACAGAACUGUCACCCUGGGAAAACACAUGUGUAGGACGGUGUGUAUAGGCCUACAAGACAUCGCCCCGGAAAAUGUGUCUUCUAGUUUAAACAAAACUCUCGAUUCUUUUAAGCAGCACUUUAAACAUUUUACACCCUAAAGGGUUAGGUUUAGAAGGCAUGUAAUACGCACGUUUCUUAUAAAACACCGUCUUUAAAAUGUUUACCUCCUAAAGGGACCUAUUUAGAAGAGUGUUAGAGGACCUGUAGACUGAACAAAUACUAAGGACAUUACAAUAUGCCCAUGAUCUUAGCCAGUGUGCGAGGGGGAAGGUAGAGGAAUGGUCUCUGUACUUGCAGGCAACGGUGGAGGAUAAUCUAAGUGUGAUAUUUGUGCUCGAAAAUUUCUUCCUUGACCAGGGAUAGGUCCCAGAUCUGACAUACCAUCUCAAGUUGACGUAAUUUGUGCUGAUACUAAACGUAGUUCGAUAGAUGCUCUACCUCUUGCACUAAUGACCUAUCACAUGCAGACUAACAGCAAUAUGUAUCUAACACCGCAUGAAAUGCUUACGGGUCGACCCAUGUCUGUGUCUGUUCCUUAUGAUGGACUGCCGCUGGAGUAAUUGCAGAUGAAUCAGAAACAUAUAUGAGACCACUAACUAUUAUGUAU